rfam:Metarhizium majus ARSEF 297 Scaffold_95, whole genome shotgun sequence.
UCUGCGAAACCUAUAAUAGUAGGCAAUUUAAAUAAACAUCUUAGCAGGUACAGAAUUUAAUCUCAGACAAGGCGUUUUAUACGUUUUAUAUUGUACAAAUUGGGGGACCAUGAAGGUUUUAUCAGUGAGUAUGUAGACUCGGAAUGGCAAAGAUGUAUUUUGAAUGAUCAGACAUAGAAUGAUAAGGUUGUAUGUCGAAGGGGAAACAGCCCAGAACAAGAGUUAAGGUUCCUAAAUUAUUAGUUGAGUGAAAUUAAGAAGGUUUUUAUUAAAGUCGACAAGGAGAUAGGCUUAGAAGCAGCCAUAAUUUUAUGACCUCGUAACAGAGCGCUUGUUAAGUUAUAAAAGCAUCGAAAAUAUAACGGAUCUAAACAAUAUACCGAAACCUUGUCCAUUAUAUAUUAUAAUAAUAAUAUUAUUAUAAUUCAAUGGGGUAGCAGA